UUAUGUAAUUGUAAGUAUUUGUGUAUUUGUCUGUGUUGCUGGGGUGCUUAGAAGCCUUCACCUUUGAUCUAGAGAGACUAGAAUAGAGGUGAGGUUCAGGCUACACAGUGUAAGAGAUGAGGUUAGGACGAGUGAGAAGUAUGAUUGUGUUUAGAAGUAUGUUUGCAAUAAGAGUGAGUUUAAAAGAAUUAUCGUUUUAUAUUAUAAUAUAAAAGAAGGACUGCAUAUGUUGUGUGAUUUAAGAACAAUAAGAUAGAGAGUGAUGCAGUUUAGGGAAGAGAUUGUGAUACAGAGGAGGUUUAAGCCUCAUAAAAUUAAUUGAGAUCAUAUUGCAUUUGAAAGACACAGACUGAAAAGAAGAAUAUACUAGUUAAACAUUUUUCUAAAUAAUCUCUGUGUGUUUGAAGUGUUUUUAAGUAUGAACUAGGCAGAGAGGGGACUGAAAUUCCUGACAUGUCGACAGUCUAUAAGAAGGUCUGGUUCAGGAGUGGUAAGAAUCUGUCUAUUUUAAGAACAAAAGUUUCACAGGACAGAUAGAAGCUAAAGAGUCAAGAUAUAUUAUAAGGUAUUAAA